rnacentral:rRNA from 1 species
UAGGGAAUCUUCCGCAAUGGACGAAAGUCUGACGGAGCAACGCCGCGUGAGUGAAGAAGGAUUUCGGUUCGUAAAACUCUGUUGUUAGGGAAGAAAAAAUGUAUAGUAACUAUAUACAAAAGAGACGGUACCUAACCAGAAAGCCACGGCUAACUACGUGCCAGCAGCCGCGGUAAUACGUAGGUGGCAAGCGUUGUCCGGAAUUAUUGGGCGUAAAGCGCGCGCAGGUGGUUUAGAAAGUCUGAUGUGAAAGCCCACGGCUCAACCGUGGAGGGUCAUUGGAAACUAAUAAACUGGAGUGCAGGAGAGAAAAGUGGAAUUCCUGGUGUAGCGGUGAAAUGCGUAGAGAUUAGGAGGAACACCGGUGGCGAAGGCGGCUUUUUGGCCUGCAACUGACACUGAGGCGCGAAAGCGUGGGGAGCAAACAGG